CUAUCUACAAAAGUUGGAUCCUUUGCUAAAUCACCCAGUAGAUUUUUUUCAAUCGUCAAGGAUGAUAAACUUGAAAGCCGCUCAUUGGUCAUUGUGUUUCUAAGAAAAGUCUUAAUACGUUUUAAUGUACUUAUAGACCGUUCACUAGAAGCCGUAGCAGAUGAAAUAGUUAACACUAACUGACAAUGUUAAGGCAUUGAAACCACUGGUUAGUAAAAAUUC